UUGGAAGAUAUAAUCUCAGGGGACUCUGCUGUCUUUACUUCACACAUGGACCUCAGUGUGUAUCAGUAUGGUGGGCAGAGCAGCGUCUUCAACCCCACACAUCAAGGCCUGUCAUCACUGUGAGCUCCAGAAAAGCAGAUAUGACUUCGAAGAGGCUCUGAUUUCCAUUGCAGGGCUGGCCACUGUGCAAUUUUAAUGAGCAUCAAGGCUGUUUUGGGACUCGUCUGCACCAAAACCCCCUGAGGACUUUGGAGACUGAACUCACCCGGCCCGGGUGCAGAGAUUAGACCUGAGGCCUGUUUGACUAUACUGUUAUUGUGCCAAGAGUGAACUACAGACACCACCAUGCCGAGCUCUUCUACACUGCAUAUCAGAAGUAUUUACUCAUUGUUGUGAUGUCAUAAAAUAAACAACAUAUAUGUAGUCCAUCACAGUGUUU